GACUAUUUAGCUUAUAUAAAAGCCUAUAUUUUGAAAAUAUAAAAAAGAAAAUUCUAAUGGUCU
rnacentral:tRNA from 1 species